GAUGAACGCUAGCGGCAGGCCUAACACAUGCAAGUCGAGGGAGGAGCUUUCGGGCUUCGACCGGCGUACGGGUGCGUAACGCGUAUACAAUCUGCCUUUCACAUAGGGAUAGCCCGAAGAAAUUUGGAUUAAUACCUAAUGGUAUAUAGGAGUGGCAUCACAUUUAUAUUAAAGCUGAGGCGGUGAAAGAUGAGUAUGCGUUCUAUUAGCUAGUUGGAGAGGUAACGGCUCCCCAAGGCGACGAUAGAUAGGGGUUCUGAGAGGGAUAUCCCCCACACUGGUACUGAGAUACGGACCAGACUCCUACGGGAGGCAGCAGUGAGGAAUAUUGGACAAUGGUCGGAAGACUGAUCCAGCCAUGCCGCGUGCAGGAAGACGGCCUUAUGGGUUGUAAACUGCUUUUGCAGGGGAAGAAUAAGGACUACGAGUAGUUUGAUGACGGCACUCUGCGAAUAAGCAUCGGCUAACUCCGUG
rnacentral:rRNA from 1 species